rnacentral:rRNA from 1 species
AACGAACGCUGGCGGCGUGGAUAAGACAUGCAAGUCGAACGAGAGAAUUGCUAGCUUGCUAAUAAUUCUCUAGUGGCGCACGGGUGAGUAACACGUGAGUAACCUGCCCCCGAGAGCGGGAUAGCCCUGGGAAACUGGGAUUAAUACCGCAUAGUAUCGAAAGAUUAAAGCAGCAAUGCGCUUGGGGAUGGGCUCGCGGCCUAUUAGUUAGUUGGUGAGGUAACGGCUCACCAAGGCGAUGACGGGUAGCCGGUCUGAGAGGAUGUCCGGCCACACUGGAACUGAGACACGGUCCAGACACCUACGGGUGGCAGCAGUCGAGAAUCAUUCACAAUGGGGGAAACCCUGAUGGUGCGACGCCGCGUGGGGGAAUGAAGGUCUUCGGAUUGUAAACCCCUGUCAUGUGGGAGCAAAUUAAAAAGAUAGUACCACAAGAGGAAGAGACGGCUAACUCUGUGCCAGCAGCCGCGGUAAUACAGAGGUCUCAAGCGUUGUUCGGAAUCACUGGGCGUAAAGCGUGCGUAGGCUGUUUCGUAAGUCGUGUGUGAAAGGCGCGGGCUCAACCCGCGGACGGCACAUGAUACUGCGAGACUAGAGUAAUGGAGGGGGAACCGGAAUUCUCGGUGUAGCAGUGAAAUGCGUAGAUAUCGAGAGGAACACUCGUGGCGAAGGCGGGUUCCUGGACAUUAACUGACGCUGAGGCACGAAGGCCAGGGGAGCGAAAGAAGAUUAGAUACCCCUGUAGUCCUGGCAGUAAACGGUG